CCCUUAGAUGUUCUGGGCCGCACGCGCGCUACACUGAUGCAUUCAACGAGUCUAAAACCUGGUCUGAUAGGGCUGGGUAAUCUUUUGAAUGUGCAUCGUGAUUGGGAUAGAUGAUUGCAAUUCUUCAUCUUCAACGAGGAAUGCCUAGUAAACGCAAGUCAUCAGCUUGCAUUGAUUACGUCCCUGCCCUUUGUACACACCGUCCGUCGCUCCUACCGAUUGAAUGUUCCGAUGAAUACCAUGGACUGAGAGUAUGAAUGGGUUCGCCUAUUUCUGCUUCUCGGGAAGUGGAGUAAAUCUUAACAUUUAGAGGAAGGAGAAGUCGUAACA
rnacentral:rRNA from 1 species